rnacentral:rRNA from 1 species
UGGGGAAUUGUUCACAAUGGGCGCAAGCCUGAUGACGCAACGCCGCGUGGGGGAUGAAGGUCUUCGGAUCGUAAACCCCUGUCGAAUGGGACGAAAGACUCGCGAGUGAAUACUUCGCGAGAGUGACGGUACCGUUAAAGGAAGCCACGGCUAACUCUGUGCCAGCAGCCGCGGUAAUACAGAGGUGGCAAGCGUUGUUCGGAAUUACUGGGCGUAAAGGGCGCGUAGGCGGCCCUCUAAGUCAGACGUGAAAUCCCCCGGCUUAACCUGGGAACUGCGUCUGAUACUGGAGGGCUUGAGUAUGGGAGAGGGAUGUAGAAUUCCAGGUGUAGCGGUGAAAUGCGUAGAUAUCUGGAGGAAUACCGGUGGCGAAGGCGGCAUCCUGGACCAUUACUGACGCUGAGGCGCGAAAGCUAGGGGAGCAAACGGGAUUAGAUACCCACGUAGUCCCUGAGCGGGCUGGCAAGGCGCAU